GGCACUAUGGCGGAGUGGUUAUCGCGUAGCACUCGAAUUCUUCGGAAUUGGAUCCAACACUCUUAAAAUGCUAUUCCCCCUGGGAGCGCAGGUUCAAAUCCUGCUGGUGUCG
rfam:Tstilago hordei, Th4857-4, WGS project CAGI01000000 data, contig: THOR_scaffold_5.00035